AAUUUUGGACAAUGGGGGAAACCCUGAUCCAGCCAUGCCGCGUGAGUGAAGAAGGCCUUCGGGUUGUAAAGCUCUUUCGGACAGGAAAAAAUCGUUUGUGUGAAUAAUGCAAACGGAUGACGGUACUGUAAGAAGAAGCACCGGCUAACUACGUGCCAGCAGCCGCGGUAAUACGUAGGGUGCGAGCGUUAAUCGGAAUUACUGGGCGUAAGGCGUGCGCAGGCGGUUAUAUAAGACAGAUGUGAAAGCCCCGGGCUUAACCUGGGAACUGCGUUUGUGACUGUAUAGCUAGAGUACGGCAGAGGGGGGUGGAAUUCCUGGUGUAGCAGUGAAAUGCGUAGAUAUCAGGAGGAACAUCGAUGGCGAAGGCAGCCCCCUGGGCCUGUACUGACGCUCAUGCACGAAAGCGUGGGGAGCAAA
rnacentral:rRNA from 1 species